GACGAACGCUGGCGGCGUGCUUAACACAUGCAAGUCGAACGAUGAAGAAGAGAAACGCGAACUUCGGUUCAAAUUUCACUUCGGAUUAGUGGCAGACGGGUGAGUAACGCGUGAGCAACCUACCUCUUACAAAGGGAUAGCCUCGGGAAACCGUGAUUAAUACCAUAUGACACAUUCAUAAGGCAUCUUAAGAAUGUUAAAGCUACGGCGGUAAGAGAUGGGCUCGCGUCCCAUUAGCUAGUUGGUGAGGUAACGGCCCACCAAGGCGACGAUGGGUAACCGGCCUGAGAGGGUGAACGGUCACAUUGGAACUGAGACACGGUCCAAACUCCUACGGGAGGCAGCAGUGGGGAAUAUUGCACAAUGGAGGGAACUCUGAUGCAGCGACGCCGCGUGAGCGAUGAAGGAAUUCGUUACGUAAAGCUCUGUUCUAUGGGAAGAAAAGGACUGUACCAUAGGAGAAAGCCCCGGCUAAAUACGUG
rnacentral:rRNA from 1 species